rnacentral:tRNA from 1 species
GAGCUGAAAGUUUAGUAAUUGAAUAUUGGUUUGCAAAACUAAAGGCGUAUGCACUCUACUCAGUUCU